rnacentral:rRNA from 1 species
GACGAACGCUGGCGGCGUGCCUAAUACAUGCAAGUAGAACGCUGAAGGAAGGAGCUUGCUCUUUCCGGAUGAGUUGCGAACGGGUGAGUAACGCGUAGGUAACCUGCCUGGUAGCGGGGGAUAACUAUUGGAAACGAUAGCUAAUACCGCAUAACAGUAGAUAUCGCAUGAUAACUACUUGAAAGGUGCAAUUGCACCACUACCAGAUGGACCUGCGUUGUAUUAGCUAGUUGGUGAGGUAACGGCUCACCAAGGCAACGAUACAUAGCCGACCUGAGAGGGUGAUCGGCCACACUGGGACUGAGACACGGCCCAGACUCCUACGGGAGGCAGCAGUAGGGAAUCUUCGGCAAUGGACGGAAGUCUGACCGAGCAACGCCGCGUGAGUGAAGAAGGUUUUCGGAUCGUAAAGCUCUGUUGUAAGAGAAGGACGAGUGUGAGAGUGGAAAGUUCACACUGUGACGGUAUCUUACCAGAAAGGGACGGCUAACUACGUGCCAGCAGCCGCGGUAAUACGUAGGUCCCGAGCGUUGUCCGGAUUUAUUGGGCGUAAAGCGAGCGCAGGCGGUUAGAUAAGUCUGAAGUUAAAGGCUGUGGCUUAACCAUAGUACGCUUUGGAAACUGUUUAACUUGAGUGCAAGAGGGGAGAGUGGAAUUCCAUGUGUAGCGGUGAAAUGCGUAGAUAUAUGGAGGAACACCGGUGGCGAAAGCGGCUCUCUGGCUUGUAACUGACGCUGAGGCUCGAAAGCGUGGGGAGCAAACAGG